rnacentral:rRNA from 1 species
AUACGUAGGGUGCAAGCGUUAAUCGGAAUUACUGGGCGUAAAGCGUGCGCAGGCGGUUUUGUAAGACAGAGGUGAAAUCCCCGGGCUCAACCUGGGAACUGCCUUUGUGACUGCAAGGCUAAAGUACGGCCCAGGGGGAUGGAAUUCCGCGUGUAGCAGUGAAAGGCGUAGAUAUGCGGAGGAACACCGAUGGCGAAGGCAAUCCCCUGGGCCUGUACUGACGCUCAUGCACGAAAGCGUGGGGAGCAAACAGGAUUAGAUACCCUGGUAGUCCACGCCCUAAACGAUGUCAACUGGUUGUUGGGUCUUCAUUGACUCAGUAACGAAGCUAACGCGUGAAGUUGACCGCCUGGGGAGUACGGCCGCAAGGUUGAAACUCAAAUGAAUUGGCGGGG